rnacentral:rRNA from 1 species
AACGCGAAGAACCUUACCCAGACUUGACAUACAGAGGACAGUGUUAGAAAUAACACCUCCCUUCGGGGCCUCUGAACAGGUGCUGCAUGGCUGUCGUCAGCUCGUGCCGUGAGGUGUUUGGUUAAGUCCAGCAACGAGCGCAACCCUUAUCAUUAGUUGCCAACACUUCGGGUGGGAACUCUAAUGAGACUGCCUGGGUUAACCAGGAGGAAGGUGAGGAUGACGUCAAGUCCGCAUGGCCCUUAUGUUUGGGGCUACACACGUGCUACAAUGGUCGGUACAGAAGGCAGCGAAGCCGCGAGGCGGAGCAAAUCCCCAAAGCCGAUCUCAGUUCAGAUUGUAGUCUGCAACUCGACUACAUGAAGAUGGAAUUGCUAGUAAUGGCGGGUCAGCAACACCGCCGUGAAUACGUUCCCGGGCCUUGUACACACCGCUCGUC